GUGGCCGUAGCUCAGUUGGUAGAGUCCCAGAUUGUGAUUCUGGUUGUCGUGGGUUCGAAUCCCAUCGGUCACC
rnacentral:tRNA from 1 species